UCCCUCUCUUCGUCCACCGGUUUUUUUCGUUCCUCCCCGACUCUCCCUCUCGUCCCACUGGUUUUUUUUCAUGUAAGCUGAGUUCUCUUUUCACCGCGGCAUCUCCUCUGUCCUCACCUCCCCCCGGUCCGAUCUUGCCUGGCCUUCCGCCUCCUCCGACGGCGCGUCUACCCCGACUUUGCGCGCGCCUCAUGGGUCGUCUCAUCCGUCCUCUUCCCCUCCCUCUCUGAUGCACGUGCCUCGCUCGGCGCGGCCCAGCACCACGAGGCCCUGCGGGGAUCAGAACCGCGUGGUUGUCAUCCAUGGCGUUGUGGGAGUGGAGAGGUAGGAGCGAUCUUUGACCCCAUAUGCGAUGUGUGCUUCAUGGAUCUGAGUGUCCAAUGGCUGGAGGAGGUGUCCCUCUGGCGGCCAGGACAGAGGCAUACGGGAGAAGCCACGACCUUAGAUCCGAGUUGUGGAUUUUCGAUCAGGUGCUUCCCGUGCUGCUGGCGUCGUCCUAUGUCAUCAGCUUGACGGGGGUGAUUGAAGGUGGCACAUAAACAGUGGCGGAGCUAGGGAGCUGAUGAUCGGGGGUGCACGGUGGUGCCCCCGUUGCCUAAAAGCUGAUUCUAGAGGUAGCACACAUGGUGAAAAUUUGCUAGCUAAAUCGGUGGACAACCUAUGACCAAGGAGUAUGGGAGCCUAUUUUCUUUAAUAUCUCAUGUACCGUGCAAUAUUGCCUCCUCAUGCGUGAUACCCAUUUUUUCUUGAGCAAGGAGUAUGUCAGCCUAUUUUCUUCUCUAGGCACUGGAUUGUAUCUCACCUUUAAGUUCACAUCUGUUGUGGAUAAUGUGUUAUACCUACCUUAUCCAAUUUGGUAAGUGAUGUUCAGUCGAUGA